UAAUGAUGGGUAGGGGAGCUUCCCAUACGGGUUGAAGCAUGACCGUAAGGACAUGUGGACACUAUGGGAGUGAGAAUGUUGGCAUGAGAAGCGAGAAGUGGGUGAGAAUCCAACAGGCCGUAAACCCCAGGUUUCCAGGGGAGGGUUCGUCCGCCCUGGGUUAGUAGGGACCUAAGCUGAGGCCGAAAGACGUAGGUGAUGGACCACAGGUUUAUUUUCCUGUACUACCGCAAAUCGUUUGAUGGAGGGGAUGACACAGCAAGAUAAGCUUAAGACCCUGAAGGAUGUGCGUGCCAAAGCAUUGAGGCGAUACACGGAGGCAAAUCCGCGUUGAGAAUGCGCGGAGUGGCUGGGGAGCGA
rnacentral:rRNA from 1 species